AACGAACGCUGGCGGCAUGCUUAACACAUGCAAGUCGAACGCUCGGGCUUUGGCCCGGGAGUGGCGCACGGGUGAGUAGCGCGUGGGAACCUGCCCUCUUGUGGGGGAUAACCGAGGGAAACCUCGGCUAAUACCGCAUAAGCCGGAGAAAUCCGGGAAAGAUUUAUCGCGAGAGGAGGGGCCCGCGUCGGAUUAGCUUGUUGGUGGGGUAACGGCCUACCAAGGCGAUGAUCCGUAGCUGGUCNGAGA
rnacentral:rRNA from 1 species